GAGUUUGAUUACAUGGCUCAGAUUGAACGCUGGCGGCGUGCUUAACACAUGCAAGUCGAGCGGUAACAGGCGUAGCAAUACGUGCUGACGAGCGGCGAACGGGUGCGUAAUACAUGGGAAUCUGCCUUUUAGUGGGGAAUAACCCGGCGAAAGCCGGGCUAAUGCCGCAUAAGAUCUUCGGAUGAAAGCGGGGGAUCGUAAGACCUCGCGCUGAUAGAUGAGCCCAUGCCGGAUUAGCUAGUUGGUGAGGUAACGGCUCACCAAGGCGACGAUCCGUAGCUGGUCUGAGAGGACGGCCAGCCACACUGGGACUGAGGCACGGCCCAGACUCCUACGGGAGGCAGCAGUGGGGAAUAUUGGACAAUGGGGGAAACCCUGAUCCAGCGACGCCGCGUGUGUGAAGAAGGCCUGCGGGUUGUAAAGCACUUUCGGUGGGAACGAAAUAUGCCGGGCUAAUACCCCGGUAGGCUGACGUUACUCAAUGAAGAAGCACCGGCUAACUCUGUGCCAGCAGCCGCGGUAAUACAGAGGGUGCGAGCGUUAAUCGGAAUUACUGGGCGUAAAGCGCACGUAGGUGGCGACGUAAGUCGGGUGUGAAAGCCCCGGGCUCAACCUGGGAACCGCAUUCGAGACUGUGUUGCUGGAGUACGGAAGAGGAGGGCGGAAUUCCCGGUGUAGCGGUGAAAUGCGUAGAUAUCGGGAGGAACAUCAGUGGCGAAGGCGGCCCUCUGGUCCAGUACUGACACUCAAGUGCGAAAGCGAGGGGAGCAAACAGGAUUAGAUACCCUGGUAGUCCACGCCCUAAACGAU
rnacentral:rRNA from 1 species